rnacentral:tRNA from 1 species
GCUCCCUUCGUCUAGUGGCCCAGGACACCGGCCUCUCACGCCGGUAACAGGGGUUCGAUUCCCCUAGGGAGCGCCA